UCCACCACAAAUCAAUAUGUUUCGGUAUUUUGCAAUUAAUGUAAAACCUCUCGCAACAACAAGUUGUGUACCAGCAUCUUGAACAUUGUCUUAUACCACCUGUCUCUUAAAAUUGAAAUAAAGUGAGCAUACCAAAUUAUUUCACUAUCAAACUUGUUUCCUCAAUUUUAAUUUUCACAUUAAACAACCAACGAGGAUGUUAAUUUCAAUCCUUUCUGUAUUUCCUUCUCUUGGUAUUCCUCUUAUUUUUUGAUCUUCUUUUACUUCUGCUCCUCUUUUCAAACUUUGCCUUUUCUCCAAUUGCUUCAAAACAUAUUGAAUUUCCCAUCAAACCAUUUUCAUUUUCAACACUAUAAGGUAAUUUGUUUACAAGGAUAUCUGCAAUCUCAUGCAUGAGUGCAUCGUCAACAUCGUGUGUGACAUCCCCACAGUCAUUUUCUUUAGUU
rnacentral:lncRNA from 1 species